rnacentral:rRNA from 1 species
AUUGAACGCUGGCGGCAUGCCUUACACAUGCAAGUCGAACGGUAACAGGUCUUCGGAUGCUGACGAGUGGCGAACGGGUGAGUAAUACAUCGGAACGUGCCCGAGAGUGGGGAUAACGAAGCGAAAGCUUUGCUAAUACCGCAUACGAUCUCAGGAUGAAAGCAGGGGACCGCAAGGCCUUGCGCUCACGGAGCGGCCGAUGGCAGAUUAGGUAGUUGGUGGGAUAAAAGCUUACCAAGCCGACGAUCUGUAGCUGGUCUGAGAGGACGACCAGCCACACUGGGACUGAGACACGGCCCAGACUCCUACGGGAGGCAGCAGUGGGGAAUUUUGGACAAAGGGCGCAAGCCUGAUCCAGCCAUGCCGCGUGCAGGAUGAAGGCC